rnacentral:rRNA from 1 species
UAUCGUGAAAGAAACUUACCAGGGCUUGACAUGGGGAGGUUGUAUUCAGAGAUGGAUAUUUCCUGCAAGGGACCUCCUGCACAGGUGCUGCAUGGCUGUGGUCAGCUCGUGUUGUGAGAUGUUGGGUUAAGUCCCGCAACGAGCGCAACCCUCGCCUUUAGUUUCCAGCAUGAUUGGGGGGCCAUUUAAAAGGACUGCCGGGUGCCAACCGGAGGAAGGUGGGGAUGACGUCAAGUUCUCAUGGCCCUUUAUGUCUGGGGCUACACACGUGCUACAAUGGCGGUGACAGUGGGGAGCCAGGCAGUGAUGCCGAGCUGAUCUCAAAAACCCGUCUCAGUUCGGAUUGCAGUCUGCAACUCGAGUGCAUGAAGUCGGAAUCGAAUAGUAAUCGCGGAUCAGCAUGCCGCGGGAAACGACGUU